AGUGAACGCUGGCGGUAGGCCUAACACAUGCAAGUCGAACGACAGCACAGGAGAGCUUGCUCUCUGGGUGGCGAGUGGCGGACGGGUGAGGAAUACAUCGGAAUCUACUCUGUCGCGGGGGAUAACGUAGGGAAACUUACGCUAAUACCGCAUACGACCUACGGGUGAAAGCAGGGGACCUUCGGGCCUUGCGCGAUUGAAUGAGCCGAUGUCGGAUUAGCUAGUUGGCGGGGUAAAGGCCCACCAAGGCGACGAUCCGUAGCUGGUCUGAGAGGAUGAUCAGCCACACUGGAACUGAGACACGGUCCAGACUCCUACGGGAGGCAGCAGUGGGGAAUAUUGGACAAUGGGCGCAAGCCUGAUCCAGCCAUACCGCGUGGGUGAAGAAGGCCUUCGGGUUGUAAAGCCCUUUUGUUGGGAAAGAAAUCCAGCUGGCUAAUACCCGGUUGGGAUGACGGUACCCAAAGAAUAAGCACCGGCUAACUUCGUGCCAGCCGCCGCAGUAA
rnacentral:rRNA from 1 species